rnacentral:misc_RNA from 1 species
GAUGAAGAACGUAGCAAAAUGCGAUAAGUAAUGUGAAUUGCAGAAUUCAGUGAAUCAUCGAAUCUUUGAACGCACAUUGCCCCCGCCAGUAUUCUGGCGGGCAUGCCUGUUCGAGCGUCAUUUCAACCCUCAAGCACAGCUUGGUGUUGGGACUCGCGUUAAUUCGCGUUCCUCAAAUUGAUUGGCGGUCACGUCGAGCUUCCAUAGCGUAGUAGUAAAACCCUCGUUACUGGUAAUCGUCGCGGCCACGCCGUUAAACCCCAACUUCUGAAUGUUGACCUCGGAUCAGGUAGGAAUACCCGCUGAACUUAAGCAUAUCAAUAAGCGGAGGA